AGCACCAACAAGCCUCGGGGUAGGACGGAUUUGAUGAUGACGAACCAAGCAAACGAAAUAGAGACAACGAACUUGGGAUUUGUCCGUGGAAUGUUGUAGCAUCUUGCACAUGAGCUACGAACUGGGGAUGUUCGCAUAUUUUGACUUUUCUUCCACAUGAGCUUUAUUUCUUUUCGCAGACAGCGAAGAAUUGUUAAUUUAUAUUUUCCCUUUUCAAUAUACAAAACAAGAGUGGUAUAAUUUUGAGGUUAAAAAGCUUUUCAUACCGAGUCCAAAACCCGGUUUUCACGAAAUUAUGGGUUUUAGCCGAAAACCUAAAUCCAAAACUCAAGUUUUCCCAUAUAUUUUUACAAAAACCACAAGUUUUAUAUAAAACCUCUCGAAAACUAGUAACAAUUCACAAAUUUUAAGUAAACAAACAAACCCUUCGAAAUAUUCAGCGCUCAAAUUAAUGUAAUUAAAACAGCUGAUGGCUGCUGUCAAAACAAAUAUUUCACUUGGAAAUAAAUUUGAUCGUGAAUAUGGAAGAGAACUCGUAGCCACAAAUAUGUUCGACGCUUUCCCUAACUACCUGGAGAAAGACUUUCCUGCAACUCCGUUCAAUCAGAAGGGUUUGGGAGAUAUGAGAAAGGCGAUAAGUUCGUUUGUGGACGAGAAUAAAUGUGAAAGAAAAUCUCUGGACGCUAAGAAAAUUUGGGCCAAAACAUUUCACAAUGUGGGAAUCGUUGUUCUAGUGAAUAAAAUCACAACAGUGGGCCCUUGAUGGACAGCGAUGCCAACAUCAAGAAGAUCCGCAGUGCUUUGGACAAGCCAUGCUAGGCCUCAAAGGAAGAAGCCAAAGAGAUAGUCAUGAACAAAUUGCAGCCCAUCAUAACAGCUUCAGUAACCGCUCUGGAUGAUUGUGAUUUUACUUCGAAACUGGAACUAGAAAUUGACCUUUUCUGCUUUUUGUUGGUUCAUGUCGUGAGCCCAUUCCACCCGUCCCCAGAACUUCAGUUGAAACUCUUCUUCGAGAACGAUCUAGUGUUGAAACUCUUCUUCGAGAACGAUCUAGUGUUACGUUAAAAUCAAUUUUAAUUCGGUUUUGGGUUUGGUGUGAAAAGGCUAUAAGUUGACCGUGAACAGUUUAUUCGUUGCAGUGUGAAUGGUAUGUGGAACGCGAAUAGAGUUGACAGUUCGUAGCAACCACACUGCAAUUCGUUACUACCAAAUUGUUUUUACAAAAUUGUCUUCUUUUAGAGAACAAAAUUAGAAUUUUAUUAUUCUAACAUUGGUUGAUUGGUUUCUUAUAAUUUGAAUGUGUUUUUGUUCUGAAUUGACUUUUUGAAAUGUGUAAAAUCAUGUUUGUUCGUCCAUUCGUUCAUUCGCUGUUCGCUCCUAUGUGCAAAGACCUUUAAUACCAACGUAAGCUUCAUAUACGCGCAUAUUUCCACAAAGGAUAAAGAUGAAGACACCAACAAAUAUAUGGCUAUGAUAACAAAAUUGUCUUAGGAGGUUUUAACGCCGAGCUACGAAGAGAAGACAUUUUUGUUGGCAUAAUCGGGAGAUACAACCUGCACUACGCUGAUCGAUUUCACGCGAGACGUUUUGGAAGCUGGUACGCAUCUCGUCCAUCCCAACAACCAUAAGCUAACAUGGAAAUCUCGUGAUCAAUGAACAGUUACACAUUUCGAUCAACGCACGACACUUUUUCAUUCCGAGGGUCCAACAUUGAAUCCGACCACUAAAUCGUUGAACCCAAGGUGUAACUACGGGUAUCCUGAUCCACACCUAACUUAACCUAACAAUAAUCAUUAAAGUUGAAUACAUAGACAAAUAUUUCUAUAUAAUAGAUAAUACAAUUUAUUUUGUUUUUAGAACAGCUUGAACA